CCUACGGGUGGCAGCAGUGAGGAAUAUUGGUCAAUGGACGAGAGUCUGAACCAGCCAAGUAGUGUGAAGGAUGACUGCCCUAUGGGUUGUAAACCUCUUUUAUAUGGGAAUAAAACGUUCCACGUGUGGGAUUUUGUAUGUACCAUAUGAAUAAGGAUCGGCUAACUCCGUGCCAGCAGCCGCGGUAAUACGGAGGAUGCGAGCGUUAUCCGGAUUUAUUGGGUUUAAAGGGAGCGUAGGUGGAUUGUUAAGUCAGUUGUGAAAGUUUGGGGCUCAACCGUAAAAUUGCAGUUGAAACUGGCAGUCUUGAGUACAGUAGAGGUGAGCGGAAUUCGUGGUGUAGCGGUGAAAUGCUUAGAUAUCACGAAGAACUCCGAUUGCGAAGGCAGUACACUGGACUGCAACUGACACUGAGGCACGAAAGUGUGGGUAUCGAACAGGAUUAGAUACCCCUGUAGUC
rnacentral:rRNA from 1 species